ACGGGGAGCACCACAACAGGUGGAGCCUGCGGUUUAAUCGGACUCAACGCCGGGAAACUCACCAGAUAAGACAGCUGAAUGAUAGUCGGGCUGAAGACUCUACUUGACUAGCUGAGAGGAGGUGCAUGGCCGUCGUCAGUUCGUACUGUGAAGCAUCCUGUUAAGUCAGGCAACGAGCGAGACCCACGCCAACAGUUGCCAGCUCGUCCUCCGGGAUGGUGGGGACACUGUUGGGACCGCUCUGCUAAAGAGGAGGAAGGAAUGGGCAACGGUAGGUCAGCAUGCCCCGAAUUAUCUGGGCUACACGCGGGCUACAAUGGGUGGGACAAUGGGUAUCGACACCGAAAGGUGAGGGCAAUCUCCUAAACCCAUCCGUAGUUCGGAUUGUGGGCUGCAACUCGCCCACAUGAAGCUGGAAUCUGUAGUAAUCGUGUCUCAAAAUGGCACGGUGAAUAUGUCCCUGCUCCUU
rnacentral:rRNA from 1 species